GAUUUAUUUGGACUCAUGCACCUGUUGUCAAUCACCACAUUACAAUUCAAGCCAGUAGUUGGCAGGCAGUCAGGCUGGCGACGUCACCCCCCACAUACCCUUGUUAUUCAUGCUGAUGAUCCAUGCUGCUCUUUUCUCAUUCCAAACAACUACGGAGGAUACGAGAACCAGCUUUUUAAAGAGGAGGAGCUCAAUGGCGAGGAGGAGGAAAUACCGCCGUUCAGAGGUCGCACGAGAGGUGGCUGCGUGAGGUGCCAGCAGAGCAAUUCCCUCCAACUGGCCGUCAAAGUCCUCGCGGCAUUUGUUGCAUUCCUCGUCAUCACUGUCACGGUGCUGGCCUCACUCGUGUUCAGAAAGGUUGACCAUCUUUCCGAGGAGGAGUCAGUCUAUGAUAAGAAGAUCACCAGGGCUCAGCAAGUAUUAGAAGAUCUGAGUAACUGCUCGGGCUGUCUGGAUGUGACUCUGUACAGUAAGGAGAUCAGCAGACUCGAGCAGGAGCUUGAGGACGUUCAAAAACUGUUACUCGGACAAGAGCAGGUCCUGGACCAAUCCUCUCGGACCCAGACCAAGCUGACAGCCACCAGCAACCAGCUGAGUCGCGACAUGCAGAACCACGUCAUGUCCAUCAAACUUCUCAACCAGCUGUUGAAGAGACACCAAGAUCAGGUGGAGGGCUGGAAAGGUGUGCUGGAGGAAACUGAAGAGAAGAUGAAAACUCUGACGGAGGAUCAAUAUGAUGUCAGAGCUACCGCGCAGCAGGUCAACACAACGGUGGCGCUAAGUACUAUGUGGAUUGACGCCCUGCAGAGAAAAUCCGAUGAGGAGACUCUGGUGCUCCAGAACCUGACCAGUGACUGGCAGAACUACAGUCAAGUCCUAGGCAUGAUCAAAUCCAACAGCAGCAGCAAUACGCAAACCAUGCGCUCCCUCCAACGCGGCAUCAUAGCAGACCACCAGAGAAUGGCCAUGUCCUCGGAGAUGUACUACGAUCUUAGUCAGCAGGUGAUGAACCUGCAAAUCCAACUUGACAAUGUCUCAUCUUUCAUGGAUGAACACGAGGAGAACAUGCAUGACCUGCACUACCAUUCCAGGUAUUAUGAGAACCGGACUGGAGAGCGUUUCUCGGCCUUGGAUGGUCGUCUGAACUCCAUUGAGAUGGAAAUCGACACCAUAUCCUCCAGCAUCAAUGCCACAGUCAUCCACGUCCAGAGCAUGUACAAGUACAUCAACAUCGAGAGCGCCACCUGCCAGAGUCGCCUGGGCAGACAAACCGAAGAUCUCCAGAACGUAAACAGCAGCGUGCUGUUGCUUUUCAAUGUGGCCGACACCAUGAGGCAGCAGAACCUGUUGCUUAAUUCCCGCCUGGAUGUAGAUGUCAGGAACUUGUCAUUGGUGAUGGAGGAGAUGAAGUUGGUGGACACUCACCAUACACAACUGAUCAACAACUUCACUAUAUUAAGAGGCGCUCCAGGACCACCGGGGCCCAAAGGAACCCGUGGUGAGACCGGCUCAAAAGGACCUGUUGGACUGAGUGGGAGUAAAGGUGAUCGCGGCCCAAUAGGAAGCCGUGGAUCCCAAGGAGAAAAGGGGUCUUCUGGGCCCAAAGGUGCAAUGGGUCAAUUCGGUCCAAGUGGCAACAGAGGACUGGUAGGCAACGCAGGACCUAAGGGAUAUCCCGGUCAAGUAGGACCACGGGGUGAGAUAGGCCAAAAAGGCGAUAUGGGCCCGCCCGGUGAAACGGGAGUCCCUGGACCAAGAGGACCACCAGGGUUCCCGGGCAUGUCAGGACGACCUGGUAUAAUUGGACUAGAAGGGCCUCAAGGAAAACCAGGGCCACCCGGGCCACCUGGACCACCAGGGACUCCUGGUCCUCCGGGAGUCACACAAGAGUCCCAUGCUCAAUCUAAUACACAGCAGCAAAGUGAACCUGCUGUCGGACCCAAAAGACAGUAAGAUGGAUCAGGACUGACAGGACAAUAAAGAGCAUUCACAAAAAGGUAGAGAGAACUACCUAUGGACUGAACUUUGACACGUAGAUCAGCCACCGAAUGAAUAUUUUAGAGUAGUAAUACUGACCUAAAGGUUUUGUACUUGAAUCUAUUGAGGAUGCAACCCAGCAGUCUCUUAUAUUCUACAUGCUGACACAGCAUUCUCUAAUGCUUCUUUCAUUGUAGAUAUCUAAGAUGGUUUGUCAUUUGGCAACAUUUCAGAGCCGGUACUCUGAAGACAACAUGCAUCUUCUGUGUGGAAUCAAAUUGGAAUCACACCUGCUGCAGCACAACAACAAACUGAACAAUGGACGCCGUGAAAGGCGAGCCAACUAUUCCAGACUGGUCCAGCUGUGUUCCAUUCCGACUGCACCAAUAAGAGAACGCAAUCCACACCACGAUGCCCACCAAACGUCACACACUUGUUCAUUCAUAGUUUUGAUGCCUUCAGUGACAAUCUACAAUGAUAGUCAUGAAAAUAAAGAAAACGCAUUGAAUGAGAAGGUGUGUCUAAACUGUUGGCCUGUACUGUAUAUUGUACCCACAAAAUAUGACUCACCAUAUAAGUAAACAAAAAAGUCUACCCCUAGAAAUGAAGCCACUUUUGCAAAUUACAAAAUGUACAGUAUGUGUAUUAUAUAUAAAGAUUGGUAUCGUUCACAUUUGAACUGAUACGGUACCUGGGAAUCGAUAUCGGCACUCAACAGUACCUAUUUUUGGUACUUUACUGUGUUAUAGAUAAUUAGUAAUAAGGUGUGUCCAAACUUUUGGCCUGUACUGUAUCUAACUGUCAAACAGACCGAAAAGGUCCAGUGCAGACUAGGAGUAUAAGACAAGUCCUCCUUUUCAAGAUGUGACAAGAUAUACAUCUUUCUUAGCAGCUGGACAGUUGUUUGAUAACUUUGCUUCAUUGAUCACCACCAUUUUAAGAUUAGUAUCAAAACCUCCAGUUGUUUGCUAACUUCCACCAUUGAGACAUUUUUUUUUAAAUCCCUGUGAGUUUCAUCUCGUGUGUGUUUGAUUGAUGGAUUGAAACUUUUAUUAGUAGAUUGCACAGAACAGUACAUAUUCCGUACAAUUGACCACUAAAUGGUAACACCCCAAUAAGUUUUUCAACUUGUUUAAGUCGGGGUCCACGUUAAUUAAUUCAUAGUGUGUGUGUGUGUGUGUGUGUGUGUGUGUGUGUGUGUGUGUGUGUGUGUGUGUGUGUGUGUGUGUGUGUGAGUGACAGGAAGAAAUGCUUUGACCUUCUUGGAAAAGUUGUUUUGCCGCCAUUUGUUUUUGCAUGGGUCAGCAACCCGUGGCUCUUUAGCGCCACCCUAGUGGCUCCCUUGAGCUUUUGUAUGCAAAUGGAAAAAGAUGGAAAAUAUUUUUUCUGUUGUACUAUGGUUUCUGUAGGAGAACAAACAUGACACAAACCUUCCUAAUUGUUAGAAAUGCCACUGUUUAUAUUAUUUUUACAUGUACUACUUUCUCCGAUGCUGCCACAGAAAGACUUUUUUUAUGCCUCUUCUUAUUUGUCGCAUUUUGUCCACCAAAUAUUUUAUGCUUUGCGUGAAUGCACAAAGAUGAGCUUUGUUGAUGUUAUUGACUUGUUUGAGAGCUAAUCAGACAUAUUUGGUCAAUGCAUGACAGCAAGCUAAUCGGUGCUAACAUGCUAAAUAGGCUAGCUGUAUGUACAUAUUGCAUCAUUAUUCCUUGUUUGUAGGUAUAUUUGAGCUUAGUUAAUUUACAUUACUUAUGUCCUCUGUGUAUUUAGUUUAUAUGUUCCAGACCACAGCAAACGUUAACCUACUUGCAAAGAUUGUAAUAACCUAUUAGAAGAACACAGCCUGCUGUUUCCUUUAAGUUGGACACACACAUUUAUACCUUUGGCCAUUCUAAGCCAGAAAUUUCCAGAAGUUAUCUCAUCCUCUGACUAGCCUCCAUUUUACUAAUGAUUUCCAAUGUUGCAAAAAUGCGUAGAAUAGAAAUUUAAAUACAACAUUUCUGUCUACAAAGAGUUGUGUCGGCCUUCGAUAGUAGGCUAAUAUAGCUAAUAUAGACACAUCAUGUGUUGCCUUCAUUACAACACUUAUAUAAGACUUUUAAAGUCAUUUUGAUAGUAGGCUAAUAUAGACACUUACAUCAUGUGUUGCCUUCAUUACAACACUUAUAUGAGGCUUUUAAAGUCAUUUUGAUAGUGGGCUAAUGUAGACACUUACAUCAUAUGUUGCCUUCAUUACAACACUUAUAUAAGACUUUUAAAGUCAUUUUGGUAGGCUAAUAUAGACACUUACAUCAUGUGUUGCCUUCAUUACAACACUUAUAUAAGACUUUUAAAGUCAUUUUGGUAGGCUAAUAUAGACACUUACAUCAUAUGUUGCCUUCAUUACAACACUUAUAUAAGACUUUUAAAGUCAUUUUGGUAGGCUAAUAUAGACACUUACAUCAUGUGUUGCCUUCAUUACAACACUUAUAUGAGGCUUUUAAAGUCAUUUUGAUAGUGGGCUAAUAUAGACACUUACAUCAUAUGUUGCCUUCAUUACAACACUUAUAUGAGGCUUUUAAAGUCAUUUUGAUAGUGGGCUAAUAUAGACACAUCAUAUGUUGCCUUCAUUACGACACUUAUAUAAGACUUUUAAAGUCAUUUUGAUAGUAGGCUAAUAUAGACACUUACAUCUUAUGUUGCCUUCAUUACAACACUUAUAUAAGACUUUUAAAGUCAUUUUGAUAGUAGGCUAAUAUAGACACUUACAUCAUGUGUUGCCUUCAUUACAACACUUAUAUAAGACUUUUAAAGUCAUUUUGAUAGUAGGCUAAUAUAGACACUUACAUCUUAUGUUGCCUUCAUUACAACACUUAUAUAAGACUUUUAAAGUCAUUUUGAUAGUAGGCUAAUAUAGACACAUCAUGUGUUGCCUUCAUUACAACACUUAUAUGAGGCUUUUAAAGUCAUUUUGAUAGUGGGCUAAUGUAGACACUUACAUCAUAUGUUGCCUUCAUUACAACACUUAUAUAAGACUUUUAAAGUCAUUUUGGUAGGCUAAUAUAGACACUUACAUCAUGUGUUGCCUUCAUUACAACACUUAUAUAAGACUUUUAAAGUCAUUUUGGUAGGCUAAUAUAGACACUUACAUCAUAUGUUGCCUUCAUUACAACACUUAUAUAAGACUUUUAAAGUCAUUUUGGUAGGCUAAUAUAGACACUUACAUCAUGUGUUGCCUUCAUUACAACACUUAUAUGAGGCUUUUAAAGUCAUUUUGAUAGUGGGCUAAUAUAGACACUUACAUCAUAUGUUGCCUUCAUUACAACACUUAUAUGAGGCUUUUAAAGUCAUUUUGAUAGUGGGCUAAUAUAGACACAUCAUAUGUUGCCUUCAUUACGACACUUAUAUAAGACUUUUAAAGUCAUUUUGAUAGUAGGCUAAUAUAGACACUUACAUCUUAUGUUGCCUUCAUUACAACACUUAUAUAAGACUUUUAAAGUCAUUUUGAUAGUAGGCUAAUAUAGACACUUACAUCUUAUGUUGCCUUCAUUACAACACUUAUAUAAGACUUUUAAAGUCAUUUUGAUAGUAGGCUAAUAUAGACACUUACAUCAUGUGUUGCCUUCAUUACAACACUUAUAUGAGGCUUUUAAAGUCAUUUUGAUAGUGGGCUAAUAUAGACACUUACAUCAUAUGUUGCCUUCAUUACAACACUUAUAUGAGGCUUUUAAAGUCAUUUUGAUAGUGGGCUAAUAUAGACACAUCAUAUGUUGCCUUCAUUACGACACUUAUAUAAGACUUUUAAAGUCAUUUUGAUAGUAGGCUAAUAUAGACACUUACAUCUUAUGUUGCCUUCAUUACAACACUUAUAUAAGACUUUUAAAGUCAUUUUGAUAGUAGGCUAAUAUAGACACUUACAUCAUGUGUUGCCUUCAUUACAACACUUAUAUAAGCCUUUUAAAGUCAUUUUGGUAGGCUAAUAUAGACACUUACAUCAUGUGUUCCCUUCAUUACAACACUUAUAUAAGACUUUUAAAGUCAUUUUGGUAGGCUAAUAUAGACACUUACAUCAUGUGUUGCCUUCAUUACAACACUUAUAUGAGGCUUUUAAAGUCAUUUUGAUAGUGGGCUAAUAUAGAUACUUACAUCAUAUGUUGCCUUCAUUACAACACUUAUAUGAGGCUUUUAAAGUCAUUUUGAUAGUGGGCUAAUAUAGACACUUACAUCAUAUGUUGCCUUCAUUACAACACUUAUAUGAGGCUUUUAAAGUCAUUUUGAUAGUGGGCUAAUAUAGACACAUCAUAUGUUGCCUUCAUUACAACACUUAUAUAAGACUUUUAAAGUCAUUUUGAUAGUAGGCUAAUAUAGACACUUACAUCAUAUGUUGCCUUCAUUACAACACUUAUAUAAGACUUUUAAAGUCAUUUUGAUAGGCUAAUAUAGACACAUCAUGUGUUGCCUUCAUUACAACACUUAUAUAAGACUUUUAAAGUCAUUUUGGUAGGCUAAUAUAGACACUUACAUCAUGUGUUGCUUUUAUUAUAACACUUAUAUAAGGCUUUUAUAGUCAUUUUGAUAAUAGGCUAAUUAAAAGUUAAAGUACCAAUGAUUGACACACACACCCUAGGUGUGGCGAAAUUAUUCUCUGCAUUUGACCCAUGACCCUCGAUCACCCCCUGAGAGGUGAGGGGAGCAGUGGGCAGCAGCGGUGGUCGCGCCCGGAAUAAUUUUUGGGUGGUUUAACCCCCAAUUCCAACCUUUGAUGCUGAGUGCCGUUUAUAGUCUUUGGUAUGACUCGGCUGGGGUUUGAACUCACAAGUUACCGAUAUCAGGGUGGACACUCUAACCACUAGACCAGGGGUGCCCAUUACGUCGAUCGCGUUGGGUGUGUCAGUUAAUCGCAAGCCAGGCAUUAAAAAAAUAGACAUAGCACACUGGAGUCCGUCCCAAGAUGGCGACGGGGAUGGCGAGCGAGCGGUGAGGCGGGGCGUGCCGGGAGCGACGCCACAAUCGAGAUCAGGUGCGUGAAUCGCGCACCUGGAUACCAAUAAUGAAUCCUCUCGCACUGUUUAAAUGGGCGGCAGCCGUGAACGUCGGGGAGAGAGGUGGAGAAACAACGAAGGAACGGGAGGGAGAGACGACAACACAAGCAGCAGCGCAUGCAACCCGGAAGAGAGCGAGAGGCAGACGCAGACAACAGGGAAGGCUGAAAAGCUACACGCAAAAGACUUUGCUUAUUGAAAAAUAAAUAAGUCUACACCUGCUCAAAUUCAUGUCCGUCUUGGUGGUCCCUGGAACCCGGACGACGGCUUGAAUGUUUAAAAACGAGUAUGCAAGUUGGACAAAUGAGAUGCCAAAUCCAACCACUUUCAUGUGGUAUUGGACAGAAAGGAGGACUUUAUUUCUCCUCCAUUUGAAAAUGUGGACGUUAUCAGCACCACUGUCUGAUUCCAAUCAAUGCAAGUCAUCAGAAUCAGGUAAUACACCAACUUAUAUUCUUGUCUUCAUGAAAGAAAGGAAUCUAUAUGUGUUAAACAUGCUUGUAUUAUCAUUAAACAACAUUAACAUGUUUACAAAAAUGUAUCUUUCAUAAAUAAAUAAAUAUAAAUUAUAAAUAUGAAUGAGGUAGAUUUCCUCGACUUGGUCAAUUGAAAAGUAGUUCGCCUGCAGAAAAAGUAUGAGCACCCCCGCACUAGACCAUAGAUAACCGGUAGUAUCGACCAAGUACAGAAUUUGUACCCAUCCCUAUUCUGAGCAUAUUUCUCUCUUUCAUCAUAUAUCUUAUUGACUUAAGUCUUACCAAGGUACCUUUUGAGUUACCCAUUUUUACUCGGUGAUCUCCCAAAAAGGAAUAUUCAUUUGUUUGUAUUUACAUAUUUCUACAGUUGUGAUCAAAAUGAUUCAACCCCCACACAAUUUUGGUGUUUUAGCAAGUUGGACAUUUAUUCCGUAUUUUGUUUACAGUAAUAUCAAAUACAAGUGUGUCAAAUAGAUAAAUGCAACUUAAAUUGUAACACUGUAUUUUACAAAAUACCAAAAAAGGACAUUUUUCUUAAUAUCUCAUUGACAAAAUUAUUCAACCCCCUAGUUACAUGCAUCUUUAGUACUUAGUAGAACACCCUUUGGCAGUAAUUACAUCCUUCAAACGUGAUACAUAACCGGACACAAGCUUCUUGCAACCAUCUACAGGUAUUUUAGUCCAUUCCUCUUGGGCAAAGGCCUCCAGUUCAUUCAUAUCCUUGGGCUUGCGUGUUGCAACUGCCUUCUUCAAGUCCCACCACAGGUUUUCUAUAGGAUUUAGGUCUGGCGACUGUGAAGGCCACUCCAGAGUCUUCCAGCCCUUCUUCUGCAACCACUCUGAUGUUGAUUUGGAGGUAUGCUUGGGAUCGUUGUCCUGUUGGAAGGUCCAACGUCUCCCAAGCCUCAGCUUCGUAACUGACUUCAUGACAUUUGCAGUUAAUAUAUCCUGGUCAGAAAUAGUAUUCAUAAUGCCUAAACGCGCUGGAGAUUCCUGGUACCCGAGGCAGAGAAACAGCCCCAGAGCAUGAUUGACCCCCCACCAUGCUUAACAGUAGGCAAGGUGUUCUUCUCUUUGUGAACUUCAUUUUUUCUCCUCCAGACAUUACGUUGAUUCAUAGGCCCAAAGAGUUCCAGUUUUGUCUCAUCACUCCAUAGAACAGUUUCCCAAAACCUUUGGGGUUUGACCAGAUGAUUUUUGGCAUACUGGAGUCUAUUUUUCUUGUGCCUGGUAGUCAGAAGUGGGAGUUCUGGCAUGGAGGCCUUCAUCUCGCAGUACGCGCCUUAUUGUCUGGGACGAAACCUGCGUUCCCCCCUCUGCAAUGUCCUGUUGUAGUUCCUCAGCUGUUACCCGGGGGUUUUCACCACUGUACGCUUCAAAUACCGGACAGAAGUUGCCACAGCAUCCUCUUUCUACCACGCCUAGGUAGUGUUUCCACUGUGCCUUUAGCUUUAAACUUGCGAAUUAUGCUUCCAAUUGUGUCUCUUGGAAUGUGUAAUGUCUUUGCUAUUUUCUUAUAUCCAUAUCCUUUCUUAUGAAGAGAAAUUACAUCCUCUCUUGACUUCUUUGACCACUCCCUGGACUUCACCAUGUUGCAAAUACACCAUUGACCAUCUACAAGAAGCUGAGCGUCACAGUCUUUUUCAAUCAGUUUAAUUGUUGCUCGUUAUGGUUUUAAUCACAUCUACAGGUGUUUUCAACACCUGAUUGAAAAGACCUUAUUCAAAUUCUGUUCUUAAGAGUUAUGAUCUUCAAGGGGUUGAAUAAUUUUGUCAAUGAGAUAUUAAGAGAAAUGACACUGUUUGGUAUGUUACAAAAUAUAAUGUUGUAAUUCAAGUUGCAUUUGUCUAUUUAUGCAUCUUUAUUUGAUAUGACUACAAACAAAAUACGGAAUAAAUGUCCUAAUUGCUAAAACACUACAAUUGUCUGGGGGUUGAAUAAUUUUGAUCACAACUGUAUUUCUUUUACUUUUUAUUCAUAGCUGUAUGUAGAAGUGUCUGGUUGUAUCUGCUGCUUUAAUGUCUUUAAUGUCCUAUGUGUUCUUUGAUGUCUGAUGUUUCCCUCUUACACACAUGUAAGAGGGAUGUGUACUAUGGCUAUGAGUUGUUGUUUUUUUCCCUUGGCCUCAGUCUGAACCCCCUCUCCAGGGCCCAGGCUAAAACCGAUUUUUUUAUUUUAUUUUAAUGUUCUAUUUUUUUCUCCCCCCCUUGUUUACCUGUAUCUCAUCUUUUUUUGUAAGGGGCGCUGGAAGCCGGCAGACCCGUCAGCGAUCCUGUUCUGUCUCCCUGUAAUGAUUGUCUGAUCUUGAAUGGGAUUGUGCUGAAAAUUGUAAUUUUCCUGAAGGAACUCUCCUGACGGAAUAAAUAAAGUACUAUCUAAUCUAAUCUAAUCUAAUAUA